GGGAUAAGCUCAUUGUACCAAGAGAAAAUUGAACUCGCAUCACUAACUCGCAUCACUACUUCGUAGCUAGUAAAAAUACCAUCAUUGCAGAGACACAUCACACACCUGCUGGCUCAACCAUCAAAUCCAUUAAUUUCAGUACGUACAUAAAUACUAGCAGCAGCAGCAGUAAUUUGACCGUAUGGAUCGAUCUCAGGCAGGGGUAGUACAAAAAAGAGGAACACAUAAUAUUACUUGAGCAUUUCAUUCAAGCUCGCUCGCACAGCAGCAACCAAAUCGAUGCACGAUAAGAUCCAUGGAGCUUAGAGAGAUUAUGAUAUCAUCAGACACUCUUGCAAAAGCUGAAGACUAAAAACUUAGGCGGUGAGCUCUUCUUCCUUGUGCGUCUCGAUGACGAGGUCGGACUUGGGGUAUGCGUGGCAGGUGAGCACCCACCCGGCCUCCAUCUGGUCGUCGUCGAGGAAGCUCUGGUCCGACUGGUCCACCUCGCCGGAGAUCACCUUGCCGGCGCACGACGAGCACGACCCGGCCCUGCACGAGUAGGGCAGGUCGAUCCCUUCUUCCUCGAAGUGGUCAAGGAUGUACACGUCGUCGGGGACCUCCAUCUCCACCUCCCCCUCCGGCGUCACCAGCUUCACCUUGUACGUCGCCUGAGCACGGAGCCGGAUGGCCCUCGCCGACGGCGUCAGGGGAAGCGCCACGCGGGAUGGGGCGACGAUUGGGGACGGCGCGGGGGCGGCGGAUGUGAAGAGGGAGAAGGGCGCGCGGAGGCUGCUCAGGGCGGUCGCCAUUGCUGCUGAGAGCUGAGAGCUUGCUUGCUUGCUUGUGUGGUGUGAGGAAGAAGAAGGAGGAUGAGCUAGGGGAUGGAUGAAGAGGGGGGAUAAGUAAGUAAAGGGGGGGGCUGUGUGCCACGUGGCGGGACGUGGGUGGGGGGCUUAUCUUGGAGCGAGGAGCGUCACACGAUGCUCAUCCUCGUCGGCGCCGGGGGGCGUGUGGCUGCCCGGCGACAUCCCGUGAUCUCUCUCGCUUUCUCUUUUUUUUUUGACAAAGAAGGCAGCCUAGUUUCUGCUGGGCCUUUUCCGGCCCAAUUACUAACUAACUACUUCGGUUGCUCGGCUUUCCUUCCAGGCCCGCUAAGCGAAGCCGACGGCAGAUGCAGCCGUGGGCUGGCCGGGGAAUAUGCCGAGUUUUGGGCGGGUUAUUUUUUUUUCCUUUGAUGCGAAUAUGCCUUUUUUUUUUCUUGCAACAAGUCUGAACUUUUAUUUCUACGGACAAGUCUUGUAACUAGUACACGCGGAGAGACUUUUUUGAGUUUUGACGCGAGUUUCUGUUUGACUGACUUGUUCUCUGCGUCCAUUCGAUUUAAUUUAUCGAGACUUUUUCUGUGACAGCUAAAUAUCGAGACUUUGUUGCGGGGUUCUUUUUCGUACCAUUGCUUUCCACGCAUUUAUUAAUUUAUGUGAAUGGAGAAAACGUCUUAAAUCUAUAAUAUCUAUAAAGUUGAUCUUCACUAUUUUUGUUUGCAAGCUUGACAUAUAAGAUGUCUACAUCAUACGCAUGCAUAGUCUCCACAUCACCAUCCACAUCAUGUGUUGUAAAUCACUAGGAAUCCAUUUUGGUGGUCUUUUUGAAUGUCAUAUUUUGAUACUUAGGAUUGUCAACUUAACGUUCUAUAUAAAUAUUUCGCCAAAUACACAUAUUUUCAUGACAUUAUCAAUCUUUUUAAGAUCUGCAAACACACAUAUUUUGAUGUUCAUGUACAUCAAAAUUAUUCCUAUUGUUUUGCUCCAUAGGUGUUAUGAAUGAUAAAAUCAUUUUGUCCUACAAUAUUUAUAUUUCUUUUGCAUUUAACCAUAUUAUUAUCAUGUGUUCCUAACGUCAUAUCCAGAUGUGCAUCUAGAACUUUCCGCGGCAACGCGCGGGGAUCACCUAGUUAUUACUGUUUGCAAUCCAUAUAUAAAGCGAAGAUAUAUAAAGCAAAAAAAAAACAUCACCUAGUUAUUACUGUUUGCGGGGAUCCACACCGUAAUAAUAACCUAAACGAACAUAUAUAACAAUCCAUGUGGGCAGAAAAAAACAUACAUGAGACAUAUAUAAAGCGACGUCAUCAGCUAUCUACUCCAAUUAUCCAACUGUUAAUCUGCUACCUAGAUCGCUUACAUAUGCAGGCCGUUGCAUGUGCCGUGCUAUAUCACGAAGAUCCAAGACAUAAUACGUGAUCUAGACAGACAUGUAGCUGCUCUCUGUCCUUUCUUACUGAUCAAGGAACAUUUAUAAAAUUAAAAUGUUCUCAUCAGUUCCUGCUGAUUGUCUUGAGACAUUAGCAACCGGUUAAUGAUAAAGAAUGGAAAUCAACGGGGGUCGUCAUCAGAUGCAGAAUCUCUUGUAUGCUUAGCUUGUGGAUUACUACUGUAAUAAAUGCGCGUGGCGUAAAGUUUGCACCAAAUCACACAGCGACAAACGGUCAGACAUUGCGUACAUGCAUCCAUGUAUCCCUUCAUUUGACCACAUAAAGCAGUAUUACCUCCGUCCAAUAAUAACGGGGUGUAUUAGCUUUCCUUUGAUCUAUGGUUUGACCACAAAUUAUUCUAAUAAUAUAUAAUUAUAAGGCGUAAGUUGAUAUCCAUUAUAUUUCUAUUCAACGAUAUUUGAUUAUGGUUAUGACUUUGAUCACAUUAGUCACAUAUUAAUAGAGUAAUUUGUGAUCAAAGGCGAAGUACUACAACAGCUAAUACACACUUAUGUUUAAUUAAUUAAAACAGACUUGAUGCUUCCCCUCUACACUUUUCCCCCUGAUUAGUUCCAGCUGCUCCUUCCGAGUAAUUCAAAUACAUCUGCUGUAGUUACCGUUCCUCGCUAUUUGGAUUGAUCGAUUGACUGAUUGAUUAAGGUGUGUGCACGUAAGAAGGUCAAUUAAUUGAUUAACUGACUAAGAUCCGUGUGUUUUGGUCUAGCCAUGCAUGAUUUUCACUUUGCUUGCAAGCAAGCAGAUAGCUAGCUAGGCAGUAUUUCGUGCCUCCCAUGCCAUGCAUCUUGGUUUUCCCAGGCCAAAAAACUGUCUGUCUGUCCGUCUGUCAGGCAGCAAGGGGAAUGGUCGAAUAUUGAACCGGUCAUGCACGGGGUAACUGACGACGCUAGAACACGCAGUAUAUCGUACCACGCACGUCUGCUUCUUCUAUUUUGACAAAAAAUAGCAAAGAUAUUUCUUGUUUUUCCCCUCUUCUCAUUCAUGUUUUCUUGGCAUGCUCUUUCUUUUGGUAUGUGGCAAUAAUGAGCUUAUCCGAGUUAGGAUAAGGUUAGCACAGCCACAAUAUUAAUCAAUACUAUUAGUAUAUCGUCUGGUAGUAAUGUGUUGUUAAGUCAUGAUGGUGGAGAACAACAACACACGCUUUGUUAGUUAGAAUGGCCAGCCAGCUAGCUCAGUUGAAUGCCCUUCAAUCUAUGAUUGAUUUGCGUAUGCAUAUUUCUGUUGAAGCCGUCAUAUAUAUGGCGUGGCAGCUGCAUAUGCAAGAGCUAGUGUCCAACAAACAAGAACCAACCAGACCCAAAGCGUGUCGGCGCCGAUAGCCCGUUCUGCCGUUCCCUUGCGUGGCACGACACGGUAACCAAUCAAAAUCCAUAUCAUUUUUUCCUUUCUCAUAAAAAAUGUCUAGUACAGUCGCAAAAAAAAUAAAUGUUUAGUGCUAUAUACUCCUACUCCUUCCUAAAUAUCAUAAGUUUUUCCUACUAAGUUAUAGUUUUGUCUGUCUUAAAUCAAACUUCUUCAAGUUAUAUAUCUUCAUAGUAUGUCCAUUUAAUAUUGUUGAUCUCAGUAGAUUUUAUUUAACUUAGAACGACACGGACACAAUUUCUUAUACUCGUAGUACUAGUACUAUUUGGGAACGAAGCUGGUACUUAGAGUAUUUUUUUUUCGUGAUUCAAGUAUUUUUAUUGAGUGCCUUAAUGAACUCCAUUUUUCAUUUUCGACUCCGAUGUGGCAUGGGCUUUGCCGCAAGAAAAAAAAACAUCGAAAAAAUGGAAAAAAAGAAAGGAAAAGGAAACGGUAAAGUGUGAAAAGGUUUUAAAAAUGCCAGCGUGGGGUCCACCCAGUUUGAGGUUGACGACGACAAGUAGUUGCAGCAGCAGAGGAGUAUUUCUUUCUCCCUUCCGUGCGCCCAAAUUUCUCCUCUCCCCCCUUCCUUCCUGCUCUCUCUUCUUCGCCAUUCGGGACCUCUUUCUUCUCCAAUCUCGCUACUAACUCCUCUCCGAUCAACCGGUCCAGAGACGGAGGCGCAGCAGACGCACCGAGGUAACACGGAGAUCCAUCCCGCCCAACCAUCUUCUCCUGCCCCCCCUCUCAUGAUUUCUGGUGUUUCUGUUGGUUGUUCUUGUUAUGGGAUUGGAUUCGGUUGGAGCUUGGAAGAACACGCGCGCCGUACAUGCAUUCGGCAACGACAGCGGGGGUUUAUUUCCGAUUUCAAGACCCAAGAACGGAUUUUUGGGACGGAUUUGGGGAUUGGGAUGUUUCUGUCUUCCGUGCCGUCGACUCCCGCCCACCUCUGUUGACUUGGACCUCCGGCCCUUUAAUUUUUUUAUUUUAGGAUUUUUGUUCGGGGGAUUUGUUCUUGUAGUAGUACUAGCUCUUUAUUUUUUUUGGAUCAUUGGGAUUUGGAAGGGACAGCCUGGCCUUCGGGUUGAUCGCCAACGCCCCCGCCUUCGAUUUCACCAACCUUCUUCUUCUUGUUGGUGCGAUUCAAGUUUCAGGCUCCCGAUUUGCUCAGCGUUUCUGACCAUCUGCGCCUCGAUUUGCUAGGUCAAUGCUUGCUCGAUUCCAACCUUCGUGAGCAGUAGUGAUCAAUGGAUGCAUCCCAUUUUCUUUCUCUUUCAAAUUUGUUGACUUGGGAUUUUACUCUAUCUUUUGUUCUCCUGUCGGUUGGUUGGUUUGCUUGUAUUGACCCAGUAAUGGAUGGAUACUAAUGGCGUGCUGCUUGGCUGAACUGGUCAGGCGAAGGCGACCGCCAACCACCCCGGAGGAGAUCUGAGACCCGACCGACCGCCGCCUGCUGGAGGGGGAAGCUGGUGGAGCAGCAGGAAGGGCCGUAUGCUUGUCGCAGGCCAUGUGCCCGGACAUGAAUCCGCGCCAUACAGCAAGGUAGUCUAGUGUUUGAUUCCAGGAAUAUCGCCAUACUGUGUUAUGAAUUUUGUGUCCCAAUUCAUAGUCAUAGGUUCCAUGGGAUGCUCAGGAAGGGCUCUGUAUCAAUGAAAUUUCCUGUAUCAAUAAGCCAAUUGUAGUCUCGGACACCUGGUAUAUGCAGAACCAGAAACUUGCUUAGCCUUUAAUUCAUUAGUGUCGUCUGUUAAACAAUGGAAUGGAAGUUCCUUUAGUUUUCUGGUUUCUGGUCUUGCACGCCUGAAACGUCGGUCAACUCUUCGACACUAACCUGAUGCUGUGUUUGGGUAAACCUGAAUGAAGAUAUUUUGUUUAUUUCUCCGGUCACCUAACCCUGUGGAUAUUUGAUUUUGGACAACCUGGUUUGGUAGAGAAGUGCCCUUGAGGCAAGGGAACUUCCUCAUCAGAUAUUUGUGUCUUUGACUGUGUCUGUGUUUUCUAAAUCCCAUUCUGACCCGGUCUUCUUUUCGUACUGGCAGUCAAGUUGAAUCAGAGGUUCUAGACGGUAAUCGUAACCAUCACAGCCAGCUUGAUGCUGAUCAUCUUGUACAAAUUGGGAGGAGUCCUAUCAAGCGUGGUAGCAACAAUCUGUCCACAGACGACAAUUUCUCCUCGAGUGCCUCUUUGCAUAAACAUGAACAUGUGAGCUCCGAUCCAUCGGCCCCUAAGGCCGAUGACCGCUCAAUUAAGUCUGGUGAUGAUUCUGAUGGGGCUGAGAGUACCAAUGGCAAAAGCAACAAUACGGACUCCCCAGGUACUGAAAAUGAUAGCAUCUGGAUACCACCUGAAGCUGCAGACAAGGGAGAUGAGACCGAGAGUAACAUUGCUUAUGAUGACGACGAUGACGAUUAUGGUGAUGGAAUCAAGUGGGGCCAGUCAAGUUUCCCAGCCGCUGGUGAGGAACACGAGGCCAGCCCCAAUCCUAAGGAUGAGCGAGAAAAUGCAAUGUUGGAAGCUAUGAAUGGACAACUCAAGAUACUCGUGAGUCGGUUUUUGGCCUCUGCUGGUAUCCCCUUUGGAAAAGGAGAGAGUAGUGAGAGUUGGCUCGAUAUUGUGACCUCCCUGUCGUGGGAAGCUGCACUACUUAUCAAACCUGAUUCUACCAUCGGAAAGGAAAUGGACCCUGGCUCUUAUAUCAAGGUCAAAUGUGUAGCAUCUGGUACUCGCUGGCAAAGGUGACACAUUUGUUCACUUAAAGGUUUUUUAAAAUAUAAUGUAUUCUAUCUGCGUGUUUGGUUAUACACGUUCACUUCAUAACCUUGACUGCAGUGAGGUGAUCAAGGGAUUAGUCUUCAAGAAGAACACUGCUCAUAAGCACAUGCCGACCAGUUGUCACAAUCCUAGGCUGCUACUACUGGAAGGAGUCCUGGGGCACUCUGAUGUUGGUUUAUCAUCGUUUAAUUCAAUGAAUCAGGUUGGUCCUUUCAUAUACAUAUGCACAUUGAAUUGUUUAUAGUAAACGCCGUUUAUUUUUGUUGGAUAGAAGAUUAAGACAUCUGUUCCGUGCCUUUAACAAUUAGGAAAAGGACCAUCUGGAGAGGACUAUAAGUAAGGUGAUUGAUAUAUGCAGUCCCAAUGUUAUCAUGGUUGAGAAAACUGUUUCACGAGACAUACAAGAACUUCUAUUAAGACAAGGGUGUACACUAAUUCUUGAUAUGAAGCUCAGCCGGUUGCAAAGAAUUGCACGCUGUACGGGUUCUCCUAUAAUAUCAUUUCCAGAAGUUCUGGAUAAACCGAAGCUGAAGCAGUGUGACUACUUCCAUAUUGAAAAAUUCAUUGAAGAACACAACGAUGCCAGUGAAGGUGGGAAAAGACUGUCUAAAACAUUAAUGUUCUUGGAAGGAUUUCCCAGGCCAUUGGGUUGCACGGUAUGUCUACCUAACUAGUAUUACAUGUAUGAUGCAUUUUAUACAUUUUCAGUUCCAUUCUUAUUUUUUCCCUAAGAUUGUUUAUUUUCCUCCAAAAGCAAAAUAAAUAAACUAUGCCACGGAGUAUUUUUCCUAUGUCUUUUCUUCCCUGAAAUCUCCCCAACCAAAGCAUCCCUUUGUAUGGAAGUGAAAUCCAUAACCAGAAGUUGUUCCAGCUUACUGUGGACAUGUCUAUUACUUCGACCAGUUAUUACUUCUUAAUAGCUGGCUUGUAGACUGUAAUUAAACAUCUUCUCUAUUCGAGUGGUGUGUGGCCAUAAAAUUUUACGGUUUGACUAAUAAGGCAGAGAACCAAGGUGAUUACAACUUGGCAGGAGCUAGAUACACUUAUGGUGCUUUAAAGUAACAAACCUGGUUUUGUUUGUGGUGAGAUCCAUAGUAGUGGUAUGUGCUUUUAUCAAUUAUUACGAUGAGUGAAUACCAAUUGAUAGUGAUAUAUUCCUGCAUAUUAGUUACAUUCCACUGAACAAAUAGUAAGUGACAGACCAAAUUGUGUUUCAUGGAUUGUUAAAUUAUCUGAGUGACAAUGGUUCCUUUCUCAUCCAGAUACUGCUCCGUGGAGCAAAUACUGAAGAAUUGAAGAAAGUCAAGCAAGUCAUGCACUACACAGUCUUUGCAGCAUACCACUUGAUCCUCGAAACGUCUUUCUUUGAAGAUCAGCGGGUAUUCUUAAAUGAUAAAAAUGUUUCCAAAGAAAAUUAUGUCACCGCUAUGGUAGGGCCUUCAGCAAUUGGUGAUGAUACGGCUGUUCUGGGUUGUGCCAUCCCUCCUUCACAUGAUGAUUCUCCAGCACUUAAAUUAUACCAUGCCACUUCUAAUAUCUAUGCGGAUGGGAAGAAAUCUCUCAGUUAUACAAAUGUAGAUGCUCCAGUUUCAAUAACAAACAGCUCUUUGGAUGAACUUGGAGAAGGUGCAAAUGUCCGGCAUAGCUCAACAUCACCCCUUCACACUGGAAGGCUACCACCACCAGUAUCAGGACCAUUAAGAAAAUUUGCUGACAAGUUACAUCGUCAUAAUAUUUAUUUACCUGUCACAUCAUUCCAAGAAACAACUGAUAAUAAAAUAGAAGGCAGGGUUGAAUCUAGGAAAGAGAUGGUUAGUAAUGGAUUUCAUGUUGGGUCAAAGGUGGAAGAGUCUGCAGCUUCCAGUGAAAUUUUGGAUGACACGAAAGAUCUCUUAAAACAAGAAAGGAUCCAAGAAGUAAUGCCAUCAGGUUCUUCUGGGCAUGGCAAACAUGAGGAAUCAUCCGCUAUGGCUGAAGAUGGGGAACAUCACAGCACCAGUAUCAUCAGCAAUGGGAACAUUUCUAACGAAGAUCAAGCCGAUGAUGCACUUGAUUCUGACAGUAUACUGAUUUUGAUGUCUAGCCAAUGCAUCACAAAGCAGAUUAUAUGUCUCCCGAGCCAACUGUGCCGUAUAAAAUACUACGGGAACUUUGAUUUGUCCUUGGGGCGAUAUUUGCAAGACAUUUUGCAGAAUCAGGUAACAACAGUUUACCACUUCUUCGUUUGUUCACACAUUGUUCUUAUUUACACUGAAUAUUAUAUUUUUGUGCUAGUAAUGUACAUUUUAUUUCGGCUCCAUUGAUACUCUUUUUUGCGAUGUUAUUUGGCUCACUAAUAUUUAUUCGUACUAGAAAGCAAGCUGCUCAUCUUGUCAAGAGCCUCCAGAGGCUCACAUAUAUUCUUACACUCAUCAAAAUGGGAAUUUGACUGUUCAAUCAAAGAAUUUGGUGUCCCAACAUCGCUUACCUGGCGAAUCCGAAGGAAAAAUAUGGAUGUGGACUAGAUGCUUGAGAUGUGAACAUGAACAUGGGACAUCUAAAUCGACUCCUAGAGUGUUAAUAUCAUCUGAAGCGCGCAAUCUCUCUUUUGGGAAAUUCCUGGAACUCAGUUUUUCAAGUCACUCCGCAGCGAGAAGGCUAUCCAUAUGUGGGCAUUUGGUGAACAGGGACUGCUUGCGUUUUUUUGGGUACGCUCGAUGUACUUUUCACAUCAAACAAAAUUAUUUUUUGGCUGCCUUUAGAUGUAACUAUUUCUUUAAUGAUAAUUUCUUUUUCUUACUGACUUCAGGUUGGGCUCCAAAGUUGCAAUGUUCCGCUACUCCUCAGUAGAAAUUUACACUACCUGCAAACCACCACCCACCCUCCACUUCGACAACCCUAGCAGACAGAAUUGGUUUGAAAAAGAGAGGAUACAUGUAUGUCUUAAUACUCUCUACCAUUACCAUCUCAUAGUUGUCUCCAGUACAUGCAUAGUAAUACUUUUUUUUUUGCACUUUCAAAGAUUCUUGCUAGAGGUAUGAAACUUUUUUCUGAGGUAGCAACCUUGCUACAACUCUUGAAGAAUCAGCAUCAUGAUGUGACAGCAACCAGUUGUGGCACAUUUGACCCUGUUAAGGACUUCUCUGAACUCGAAGAGUUGUUGAUGAAAGAAAAGGCCGAUUUUGAGGUAGGCAUCCUUGUCUUAAUUUCUUUUAGACUGGAACUUUGUAUGCCAAUGAAUUUGUUAUGUUUAAUUUAUAUUUAUGGGUUACUAUCUUUAUUUUUAUGCAGGAUUCAUUAGUAAAGACAAUCAACCAAAAUGGGAGAUCAUCCUCAUCUGUGCAUGAGCUUCUUAAUAUAAAUUGGUCUUACCAGGAUGUUCUACUUGAACUUUAUGUAUGGGACCGUCGGCUCGACGAACUUUCUAUGUGUAAAUCUGCUGGGCAAGGGAGUGUUGGUAAUAGCAAUAAUCCUAGCGGAACUGCAGACAAGAUUUCUGGGGCCAACUACGAGAUUGACAAGAAAAUUGGUGAACUGACGUGUGAUAGAACUAUGACAGCUGUGAGGUCAGAUGGUACCACUGAUUGCACUGAUUGCACAAGUAACAAUAUUCCCAUUGACCAUCAAUCUGGUGAGACCGCAGCACACUUGCUUGAUGAUAGUCAGGGAGCUGGCAACUCUGAACCUUCUUGCAGUGAAGGUAGUAAAGAUGAAGGAUCUCGAUCUCUCAUUGCUCCUGAUCAAGUAGAGGUAGAGAGCACGCCACAAAACCAAAAAGUACCUUCACUUGAAGUUUCAAGUCAUACAGAGGUCCAGGGUAACGGGGUAGUUGCACAUCCAGUUUCCAAGGAACAAGAGCCUUCAAGCACUCUCCAGAAGUUCAGAAGUACUGAUUGGGAUGACAGUGAUAGAUGGAUUUGGAGUUCAUUUUGUGAGUCUCAACUGGCUUACAGGAAGGACAUUCAAAUGGGAUGUUUGGAGAAAUUUUAUCUUGUUAACCAUUACUCCCCAUCUCACCUCUCCCCCUUGUUUGAAAAACAUGAGGAGGUGGACACUCCUCAGUUCACAGUUGGCCCCGGUGGUAAUAUUUUAUGUGUAUUGGAGCAUGAGGUAUCUAGUAUAAUAGCUCGUGCUCUCGCCAUAUCUGAGGAACGUAGGCAGGAUACCAUAGUCGAGAACGAGACGGGGGAGGGCAGGGUGGAGCAUGGUAAAACGAUGGAGAAAUCCUAUAGCUUUUUCUCUGAAGGUUCUUUUAGCUCGUCACCAUGGUCAUCUAUUGGAUCAUUAGAUUCUGAAGCAAGCUUUUCAUCUUCUAUUUCGUCAUAUCCAUCUGACGACCUCUCUGGUUAUGAUACCUUGCCUUUAUUGUCCUUGGUACACCCAGAAAUCACUGUGAACGGAAAAGUAACUCUCAGAGGCAAAUAUUCGGUUACUAGUAUAUAUUCGAACCAAUUCUACCUUCUUCGAAAGAAGUGCUGCCCAUCUGAGCUUGCAUAUAUUACUUCCUUAAGCCGCUGUAAGAAGUGGGACGCUCAAGGUGGAAAGAGUAAGGCUUUAUUUGCAAAGACAUUGGAUGACAGGUUCAUCAUAAAGCAAAUCAAGAAAACAGAGUUUGAGUCCUUCAUAACAUUUGCCCCUGAUUACUUCAAGCAUGCUUACCAUUCUCUAGACACUGGCAGCCAAACUUGCCUUGCCAAAAUAUUAGGAAUCUAUCAGGUAGGUUUUUUUGACAACUGAUUUCUAUUCGAUUUAUUUCCUGACUUCUAUUGGGUUUUCAUAUGACUUGUUGUUUCAGGUCAAGCAAAUAAGGCAUGGCAAAGAGAUCAAAAUGGAUCUGAUGGUGAUGGAAAAUCUCAUGUUUGGGCACAAUAUUUCACGAAUUUAUGACCUUAAAGGUGCUAUUUUUUCACGACACAUCGCCAAAUCAAAUGACCCUGACACUGUUUACUUGGAUCAAAACUAUGUUGAGGACAUGCGUGUAUCUCCGAUCUAUAUUGGUGGAAGAACGAAGCAUCUUUUGCAGCGUGCAAUCUGGAAUGACACAUCAUUCCUCACUGUAUGUAUAAUGCAUAUCCUAUAUCUGCAGAUAAUCAUGUUUUCAAAUAAAUAUAUGUCCUAACAAAAUUAUUGUACUUGCAGUCAGUUAACGUUAUGGACUAUUCUCUGCUUGUGGGAGUGGACAAAGAAAAGAAUGAACUUGUGUUUGGCAUCAUUGAUUAUUUGAGGCAAUAUACUUGGGACAAACAGCUGGAGACAUGGGUCAAGAGUUCUUUGGUUCGAAAAAAUGUUUCACCGACUGUAAUUUCACCCAAGGAUUACAAGAAAAGGUUUAGAAAGUUCAUGGCCAAGUACUUCCUCACAGUUCCGGAUACUUGGAGUCCCGAGAAUUCUUCUGGGCCAUACAAAUCCUUUGGCCAUAGCAAUAGCAAGUUGGUAGAAGCCGAUAAUGAUGACAACCUGCUUCAGCAUCCAAUUGAAGCUGAGGCAUGUGUCUAGUUCUGUUCAGGCUGGCAUGUGUCUAGGCUAUUCAGGACUCCUCUGACAGUGCUGUUGAAGCCUAUCCAGUCGUCGUCGUUGUUGUUUCUUUGGCUUGUUUUCGCUUUGUAAAAUUGUGUACAUAUGAGGGCCUCACAAUUGACCUUUCCAGAAGUUUGCACCUUUUAGGCAGAUUACUGGGCAAGUGAGGCCCACAGUACAUGUACCUAUACAAAUGUAAAUUGUUGAUUUCACAAUUAUUAUAGUGAAAUUUACAAAAUUGGUAUGAUUUUUUUGGGAUCUACUAGGCUGAAGCCUUUUCUACUUGCUUAAUUAUUUCUUAUAAUGCCUGACACGGCUAACCGUCCAUGUUGGACUUCUGAUCUCUGUUCAAAUUUGAUCAGUUUGAUCCGUAUUUGACUUUCAUUACUCCGCUAUAGUUACAUUCAUGGAAAUGGCCAAUUUAAUGCCUCUUGAUCUUACUGCACACCUUAUGAAGAACAUUUUGUUGUCAGAUGGACAUUGUCUAUUUUGUUGUGUGCACCCAGUCACUACAAUUUUGCAGAUCUGCUGGUAUGAUAUGUACUGCUUACUUUCUUUCAUCAAUCAGUUCCACGUAUUAUUUAAAAUGAGUGAAAUCAAGUUAAACUUGUUUGUUCCAAGUUUGUUCCUUGAAUUUUGUUGUAAUAUGUGUUUAUGCCCCAAUCUCUCUUAUGAUAUCAAGAAACAGAAUAUAAUUUGAUUCCUGUUUGUUUUCAGGAAAUAACUCACUGGGGAGGACACCACUCUUUAUAAGUCCUGCAUCACAUAGUAGCUGCCUGGUGACAUGCCUCAUCUAUGCAGUUGGUCUAUGACUCUAUGUUCUAUACUUUAUUGCUAUAUAACACUUGAUAUUUUAUAUUCUCAGCUUUGACGAGGCAAAUUGUUAGUAGAUCCUAAAAUUAACUAUUUAUUUAAUUUACACAGUACACACUUUGCUGAUAAGGGAUGCUCCAAAGUAAUGCUCCAGUUCCUUUUCUAGAACCACUGGUUAUUUAAAUUGGUGCAUUUUCAGGAGAAUUAUCUAGCAUCCUGUAAUGCAAUUUCUGAUUGAUCAGAUAAUUGAUGGAAAGAACUUUCUGUGUAUUCACUUAGCAGUCUGGCUGAUACUUAACAUCUACUAGUGUGUGCAAUCCAUAGUCUGGACCAUGAACAUCGGCAGGAAGGGAUUCCUGCAAAUGAACAUGUGAGACCUCGGUGAGUUAGUUCAUUUUAAGCUUUCUUAUUUUCUACCCUUGCAAAACUUUGUUGACUAAUCCACAUAACCCUUUGUUGAACUUUAUAGUGCGUAGCACAUUUUUCUGCAGCUAUAAUCUUAUCAUACUAUCUUAUAAAAAUUCCUGAUGAAUGUUAAACAUGUGUUUUUAUCAUUUGGCUGCAUUGGUGGAAUGGUAGAUAGUAACAGUAUACAUUUCCAAGAAAUGUGGUAUUUGAAUAUAGUCCCAUUGAUCUUCCCAAAGAGUUGCAGUGUGUGCGUGCUUCUUUCCGAGAGUCCUAUAUUUGCAUUUAUUUUUCACUGAUUGUUUCAGUGAGUAUGAAACUAUGAAUUCAUAUGCAGUGUCGCUUGUGAAGUUGGCUUUGCAGCAUUUAUCUCAAGACAUUCCUUUUUCCCUGUCAUUUUAUUACUAACGCCGUCCAAACAUAACGAGCACAAUGCAAAACCACCUUCGCCCACUUUUCCAAUUGGAGUUGCUAUUUGUGUCUUAAUACAAUUCUUUUUUUGCUUCCAAAAUGGCACAUAUACUGUUGUUAUAUAUGUGUGUGUUCAUGCUAAACUUUCUAGCUCAUGCCUUGUGAUCAGGAGAUUAUGUGUUGUCACAAUGUGCUUGAGAGACAUUCUUGGGCAUGUCGUGCCACUUGCAUCUUUGUUUUCAUGACUGAUGAAUACACUGGGUUACGUGACAGAUGAACUCAUGUUAGUUUUUCGAGCAGAGUCUACCUCUUGCUCAUUUGCGAGCAGUACUGAUUUGAAUAAAUGAUAGUACAGUACCUCAGAAGUCAGAGCACUGCUUGGAACAGGCGGUAAUUUGCUUCAACUGUAAUCUACACAUAUAGUCACAUCCGCUGAAUCUUACAUAGUUAACUUUUAAACAUGAAUAUAAGAAAUUGUUGACACUUCCUUCCCUAUAGUAGCAAGAGGCAGUAGUCUGCUAUUGUACCAAUCAUCAGUCAAGGAGGUAAUCCACAAGAAUGGGGUUGGCAUGCAUCUCUUUUCUCCUUUUCACUUUUGCAGGAGGGCAUCAAAUACAUUGGCAGUAAGAGUAUGACCAGAGGGAGGACUUUUAGAUCAUUGCAGAGUGGCUCAUCAUGAUUGCGUGGAUUCUAUGCAAGUCUUGUCAUUGAGAGGGAGGUUACAAAAGGAUUGUCUGGAGAAGGUGAUAAUCUGUGUAAUGAUGCUGAUCCUAACAUCACUGAUUCAUAUAGAUUGGCACACCAUAUUUUUUUUGAAAGAGAGAGAUUGGCUCACUAUAUUUUGAAUUCUGGAUUUAGGAUUGUAAUAAGGAAUGAGUUUUCUCUCGUACAUCUUUGAGAUUUCAUUAAUCAUUUUUUUUUGCAGUGCUACUCUCAGUCUGUUUGAAGUUCCCAUUAACUGCCGAUUUUGAACAGUAAGCAUUCAUCCUAGGUGCUAAUUUUAUUACACUGCACUGCAAACUCUUUCAAUAGCUCUUUCAAUAGCUGAAUGCUUUGUAGGAAUAAUGUCGCAUUAGAUUUUUCUCAUUUCAUUUUUGAAUUUUUUUUGUUUAGUAGCUAAUGAUGAAUUGAUCAAAUCUGAAGAGAGAACUGUGGCAUGGCACUGAUGUUUUCUUGGUUGCAGAUCCUGCUUUAGCAAAAAGCAGUUGGUGUCGCCAUUUCAGUAUAAGGGAUUCGAUUUGGUCGAUUUAUGCUCAGCUUUUUCCUGGUACUGGCAGAAGCUGCCUGAACCCCAAAGUAUGGAGCAUGGAUUAUGCUGCUGCUUACCAUCAUUUCUCUACUGUAUAACCCUGUAAAGCAGCUCAAAUCAAUCAAUUUUGCAUUGCAGCAGUUGAGGGCAUUCUCCUUUUUCCUGGAACCGAUGCCUUCGAGUUCAAGGUGAUCAUCAUGUCCCAAUUCCAGAAGGCGAUCUCAUGAUUCUACAACCAAAACGAUGACUGCUGUCGGAGAUCAUAUGGAGAAUCAUGUCAGGUAACUCGUUUUUUUUUUCAAAGCCACACUAAGGUGUGUAUUGUCCCUAAUUCCUUGCCUUGUCAUCUUCUCUAUUUGUAGUAAAAUAAUCAAUCUUUACUCUGCCAGUCGCCAUGGCAACUAGUGGAGUGAUCAAUGAUAAGGAAGGUGAUUAGCCUACCACCAAAGAACAAAAAGAAGACGCAAAAGAUGACAAGCACAAGAGUUCAUUUUAACACCCCUAGUUGCACCCUUUUUGUCUCUGUCCAACAAGCUGCCCACAUCUCCACAGCACUUUUCCAGUUACAGAAAAGGGCAAAGAGUCGCUUCCCUUUUCCAAUGCAGAUUCUUCCUUUCACUAUCAACCAUUAUAUCAUUCAUCCAUGGAAGAAACUCCGCCUAGAUCAAUGCAUUAAAAAUUACUACACAUAUUCUGAUUCUGAUGCUCAUAAUAGGUAGGCCUAAGCACAAACUGCCUGCCAUCACCAUUGCUGCUUAAAGAAGACACGAUGCAAAGAUGAUAGACACACACACUAGCUGGCUAGCUGCUAUGGUAGCUAGAGAGAGUAGCUAGAUUACCCAAUCACAAAAGCAAAAAACACCUACAUUUUUCUUAAAAUUGUUAGCCUAGUUGUACUAUCUACCAUGCCCUGUUUGUUUCUGCUAAUAGCUGCUGCAAACUCCGAUCAGCUUCAGCGAUGGCUGCACAGGUCAGACAGCAUCUUCCUGCCUUCCACAAUCUCAUCAAAGAAGUCAUCCAGUUCGCCGACGACACUCUCCGCACCUGACUGCAGCACCCCAACCCAGCCUUUGAUGAUCUCCACCCUCUCGGCGAUCUCACCGGGGUCGGCAUACCCUGUGGCGAUGACCCUGUCGAACUCUGCCUUGAGGCUCUCGAUGCCGGCCCUGGCCUGCCGGAACUCGUACAUCAUGACGCCAGAGCCAGAGUGCUGCCCGGCUACUGCCUCCAUCUCCUCGGCGACGCGCUGGCGCAGGCGCCCCAUGGAGGAGACGUAGCCAGCACCCGUGGCACGGAACAUGGGCGCACAGCCAAGGUCCGGGAGGCAGGAGACCGUCCCAGAGAUGAGGAUCAUGAGGAGGAAGGAGCUGGCGUUGCGCAGCGCGUAGAGCACGCCCCGGAAACCGUUGAAGGCGUUGAGCUUGAACUCCACGGGCGACCGGUCGUCGAGCAGCAGCGACGCUGGGUCGAUCCUAGCCUCCGCAAGCGCCCGGUUCUCCUGCUCCAGCCCAACAGCCUGCCGCCUUGGCGCGUUGAUCGCACGCAUCACCUGCCAGCCAGUAGGUGUCAAUGAUGUGAUCAGAAUCAGAUAUAUUCAGAUCAAUAGAGGCAGGGGGGGAUCGUCGAUCGGACUGUACCUGACGGGCUGUGUGUGGGUUGGGGCUGCAGAGCCAGUCGUCGAAGGCGGCAUCGAUGCGGGUGGCGGAAGCGCAGUAGGUGUCCAGCGCGGUGGCGCCGGCCUUGACGACCUGGCAGGCCUCCCAUAGCCGGGAGGUCUCGUCCAUGUACUCGUCCAGCCAGCUCUCACCGGGCGGCAGGUGGAGCCGCUGCACCAGGUGGACGAGCUGCGAAUGCAGGGACCGGAGCAGCGCCGCUGCCUGUUGGAGGAACGGCGCCGACACGAACGCGCCCUCCGGCGACGAUGACGAGGCGGCCAGCGUGCCGUGGAGUUCGUCCAGGCCGUGCGCGAUGGAGGAGUAGAAUCCGUUCAUGGCGACUCUAUUUGUUGUAUAACUGGGAGCAGCAGAGCAGAGCAAAGAUCGAGAUGAGAAGAGAGUGUGGUGCAUGGGAGUGGAGGCUCUGCGCUGAGCUGGAACAGAGACUCUCGGUCAGCUUAUAUAGAGGAAGACUAGAAGACUGGACUUAGAGUGAGGGCAGUGAGUUGUACUAUGGGGAAGCAAUGAUGGUUUGUCCGGCGGUCAGGGGGAAGGAUGAUUGGGGACUGGGCUGGGCAGCCAUUGCCAGGACUCCUGUAUGUGCUCCUCCUCUUCAUGACCAUUCUAAUGGCAUUGCCAAUGCUUGAGAGCUAGUCCUACUAGCAUGCAAUGGAAUGCAUGGGAAAAUGUACUUACUCAGCCUAGCUAGCUGCCACAGCCAUUUUAAUUUCCCCAUGAAUAUCCCACCAGUUAAUUUCCCCAUGAAUAUCCCCCCACUCCAGUACUCCUACUCCAAUUCUUGUCUUGAGUUGCAUACUGCUGGUCCAGAUUCAAGGGUAGGGACCAUUUGCCAUUGACAGUGUACUACUGGCGAUUGAUUAUGAAGUUGUUGGUGCUAAUCAAGGACUCACUAGUGCUACUACUACUUGAGCAGACAGCUGUCAUCUGCUGCUGCUGCUGCUUUCCAUAUUCUGAAUCCGGGUGGGAGGGAGGAAAAAGGAGGGGGGCCAAUGUGCCGGGCCUCUGCUGGGAGCACCAUCAAUAAGCAGCAAGGAAGCAAAGAGAAGCAAGCGCUGGCUGCACUGCACUCCCCUGUCUGGCCUUCCCAAUGCACUCAGCCACCUGUUAGUCCAGAAAGGAAACAUUUUUCCUGGAUACAUGAACUCUAUGGAGUAUAUUGACCAUUGCAGCCACUGUGGGUACUUCUUUGCAACAACAUAUAUAUAUAUAUAUAUAUAUAUAUAUAUAUAUAUAUAUAUAUAUAUAUAUAUAUAUAAUAUAUAUAGUAUGGCAGCUAGCUGCAAGCAAAUGUGUUUGUUUUCUUGUUCUUUUUUCUUUUGUGCAGGCCUGAAGAGGAGCUAGCUUCUUCUUCUUCGAGAUGCAUGGGAUGCGUUGCUGCAUGAGCCAAUAGGAGCAGAGGAGUAUGAGGACAAAGUUUCAAAGGUGGCAGGGAGUCCUAGAGAUGUGUCGACAAGGUGAGCUGUACUCUACUGCUUACUUGCCCGUGGAUUAGUGGGGCACUUAAUUUAAUUUGCUUGAAUUGAUGUUAGGAGGAAUGAUGGGUUUCCUUGUACCCGUACAAAUCUCUCAGUCCGCGGCCAACACAACCCCCAUGCUUCCAUGCAAUGCAAUGCCAAUGCAAUGGCUUGGCCGCCUUUUGAGGUCCUUCUCCCUCUCGCCCGGGCCUCCAGUCCGGCAAUCAUGCCCAAUAUAUGCUCUCGUGCCCCCUUCUUCUUCCUCUCCAUUAUGACUACUCCGUUUCUCUAGGGCACACGUCGGGCCCCGCAUGUCGGUCAAGCCCUUGAGAAACUCAUGACAGUCUUAAUUCCAACACACAACUUCUACAAAAAAAAAAUGUUUCUAUUGUGAUGAUACUGUGUAAAUUAAGAAGACUACAAAUUAGUCUGGAUUGACAACAUUUCUAACAUAGUCUAUGUUGCUUGUAAAACAUGCAUGCUUGUAGUAUACUAGUACUGCAUAUAUGCGGUGGCUUCAUUAUAGUAUUAGGAUUGUCUUUUUGGUCCAAUCCAAUUCAAACACCACAGCUUCAUCGGUGCAUGCAAUCCAUCUCGUGGCAAGUGCUAAACCCUUUUAAGAAAUGGAGCUCGUGGGGUUUUGGGAGGAGGCGAGGGGGAUGUGGAUUUGGUUGGGGAAAUCAAAGGGGAUGUGUGUUGUUUCCUUUGCCCUAACCAAGAACAAAGAUUAAUUAAGCUAAAUCUUACUCCAUGAUCCAUGCAUCAGCUAGGAGCUACCUUUGAAAUACUACUACUACUUGGCCAGCCGUGCCGUACAUGCUGCGUGGUUGACCGGUGGGGGUCCAAGCACCACUCAUCGGCCGGCCAUGAAUAUUCUUCUUGUCCUCUUCCUGCUCUCUCUCUCCAGUCCUAUAAUCCAUGCAUUCAUCUCACUAUGUAUAUAUAGGCUCAUUGCAAAUUAAACAGAUCAUAAAAAGCAAAGAUCAUCUGUUUUUUUUAUUUAGAUCAAGACGGUUCGACUCCCAUAAUUGAAUUAGAUGAAAAGACCAUCUGCUAAACGUUUGCCAAACAGAAGAACAUACAGUUCAUAUGCAAAACACUUUUAUUGUCGGAAAAAGCACAUUUUUUUGGUGUGUGUUCUAUCUAAUCAACUCUCUGUGUCUUAUGUGUUAUAUACUAUCUAAGUAAACUGUUUCCUGCAAAUUUUUCCGUGGCGCGGUCUCUAUUCCGCAUCCGCAAUAUAUCCUCUCAAUUUCUUCACAUAUAAAUUUCCAUGAAUUAAUUUGGUUUUCAUAGCAACGAGAUCCAAAAGGGCAUUAAUUAUCUGCCUGCCUGCCACAGUAAUUUUACUUCUUGGAUAUACACACAUAUAUAGUACACUUACUAUUGGCGACCUUGUCCUGGACGCAUAACUCCAUUGUUUGCUCGAACUUGUAAAACAGGUGGUCACGGAUAUAUCUACGUGGCACACGUAUGCAUGUCUAGUCCAAAUUAGCAUAUGGGUUGGCGGCAACAGCAUGCAUACAUGAAAGCAGCAACGGCUAGCUUUUAAUUUAGCAUGUCUGGUCAGUCACACACACACACACACACACACACACACACUAAUUUUCUCUCUUCUUUUUUCAAAAUUUGUACAGACAUUAUUAUGAAAAUUAGCAGUACUACACUGCCAGUACAGAGUACUACUGCUACUGCUAGGUCUCAUGAUCAAAGUUGCUAGCUUAGCUAGGUGUGCUGUAGAGCUGUAGGAGUGUAGUAGUAGCUUGCAAUGGUGUGGCUGCUGGCUUGACCAGAACUUUGAAAAAUGCAUGCAAUGCAUCUAUGCUUGGACAGCAGCAGUCUACUACUACAAGUACUUAUCACUCUACAUACAGUACACAGAACAGAGAUCAAAGUUGCUGCUGCUGUUGUUCUUCUGAAGCAGCAGCCAUGCAUGCAUAAGGCUGACAGACGGUGGUGUUCUGUAUUAUAGCGUAGCUGGUUCUCGUUUGAUUACUGCUGUCAAGAGAACCCCGUGCGAUGCUACGGAACAACGGAAAGUGUAUCAAGCACGAGCCGGUGGAGGCGAAGUCUGGACAUUGAUCAACCGGCGCUCCCCUUUGAGUUGAGAUCUGCAGGCGCCUCCUCAGCCUCGUCAACGACGGUGUGGUUCUCGCUUCCCAGCAGGGGUGGAGAUCUCCAGCGGGCUUCUGCUUCCCUGUCUCCGUCACGCCUUGUAUCCUCGAUGGGGGUCUCUGGGUCGGUGGUCAGGGGCCGGACGAAAUCCCUGCCCGGCUGCGUCCGGUGCCAACGACGGCGACGCCUACGGGCGCCUUUACCUCCUUGGAGGCGUGGUCGUGGCCCCUGACCAUUCCUUCUCCAUCCUCGGGCUCCAGGGGAAACCCUUGGUUCGGUUUGCCAUGGCUCCGAAUCAGGCAGCAGCAGCGACACCUUGGCAUCGUAUCCUCCUUGGAGGCACUGCUUUGGUAGCCCGUGGGAGUUCGAGUGUCGUGGCAUGAGAUGGCAGCCUCUCUAUUCUUGGCGGCGAGGCUUGGUGGUAGCGCGAAGCCGGUGUUGAUCCUCUGCUCUGGGCGUUGGACUUCAAGGCGCGAUGUUCGUCACUAUCGGUUCCCUAGAUGAUGCAUCCUUCCCAAUUCAGUCUGGUCCAUUCCUCUACUUGCCGACCGGGGCUUGAUCUGCUUCCAGAUUGGCCUCCCUUCUUAGGCGUAUUGUUGGGGGUUGGCCAGGGUGGUCUUGGUGUCAUGGUCGCAGAUUUGGGUGUCCUGCAGCUAUCGUGAAGCGGCCUUCAAGGUCUUGUGCUCUGCCUUCUUUGCCCUAGGGCUGGAGGUGGGCAAGGCGAGUCUCAUGUCAUUGUGGUUUGAAGCUUGGUGGUGUCUCUUUAACCUGCUCUGACCCCAAGUUGGCUCAAGAUCUGUUGGCUGUAGGUCUAGGCUAGCUAGGGCUCCGUCUUAGGUCGUCCGGAGAGGACGGUCAUGUUUUUUCUUGCUUGGCCUCGCCGUUGGCGGGUGCGGUGCAUAUGUUGUAAAUCUUGUAACUUUUGGUUACUCACGCUUCUUUGCGCUUUCUUCUUAAUGAAAAUGACAUGCUUCCAGGCGUGUUCGAGAAAAAAAAAUUAGAGUCUGUUUUGAGGAACAAAUUGGCAGUUAAAUGCUUGAAGUUCAGUUCAGUUUGCUGCUGGAAUAAAGAAGAAACAACAAUUUUGAAUUGCGAUGAGAUCUAUCGAAGAACACAGCUAGCUCAUAUAUAAUGCUCUCCAUGGAAUUUGGGGUGAAAAAGGGAAGGAAAGAAGAGGAAAGCUGAAAAGAGGCAACUAAAGGAGAUGCUAGUCAAGUGUUCUCCAAAUUUUGUGUUGAAUGGCGGCUAUAUUCAUGAGUAGCAGCAAGUAGCCUAACUAGUCAAGUGUCCUUGCUGUGAUGAAUUGAAGCAGGCAGGGCAGAGCAGAGCUGUGUGUCCUCCUAGAAGCUAUAGCUAGACCUGAAGAAAGUGCAUAUCCUCCUCUAUCACUUUUCUCACCGCCAAGUUGUAAAGGGGAGAAAGACAUGCAUGGAAACUGCAAAGUUGCCUCGCUUUUACAAACCAUUGCCUUUUUGCAGGAUCUGAUCUCUAUUUCCUUUCCUGUUACCUCUCCAUGCAGCUGCUAUGCUGCUAUAGUAGCGUAUGAUCUUGGCCAUCCAUGCAUUUCUCCGUCUUGUAGCUCGGCUCGGCUGCCUAAUUGCUGGCUAUGUUGGUUGCUUUCUGGAGACAGAGAGGGAGAAUAUGCUCCAUGUUGUCCAAAAGGGAAACGCAAAAUCAAUUGCAUCCACGGUGGUUCGUUUCUUUCCUUCUCCACACUGUCUUUCUGUCUUCUUUUCUUUCUCUCUUACGUUUGUAUUUCUGAAUGAAUUGGUUGUGGUUUUACAUGUAUGUUGAUUUUUGUUUUAAAGCGUUUGCACCAACAUAUAAUACAGGCAGUUUUUUUUACAGUGCAAGAAAAGGAGAAGGACAGAAAUGAAGGGAAGCUGUAUAACUUUAACACAGCUGCUAUACAACUAUACAAGAGAAGAAGCAGAGACUCUGACAUUGAACUUGAUCAUGGGCCAUUUGGAAUAUGCUCUGACAUGGAGGUGGUAAACAAGCUCAAUCGGUUUAUCAAAAACCAGCAAGGUACAAGCAAGGGUCCAGACACUGAAGAACUGAACAAAAAGCAAGAUAAACCAGGCGAGAGAACCGCCCAGCAAAGUUGCAGACGCUAAACUAUCAGAACAACUACAAGAGUCACAAAACAUCACGAUAAGAAACAGAAAGGCUCAUUUGUGUACUAAGAUGAUAUAACUUUGCAAUAAAAUUGGCUGUGCGCAUCGUUUCAUCGUUUCGAUGCAGAGGCCGGGAAGAACCCCUUUUCGAAAAAAAACGGUUCGUCCUUUUCCAAUGAGCGUUCUCUAGCAUGAAUUCGAAUGUAAUUCGUGCACGUAAAUGAGUGGAAAAAAGAAUGCUGUUGCAAGGGGUUGGAUCAUACUGUCUAGGAGAUCUUAUCUAAUGACAUACAAACAGGAGGCGCUCGUGGCCUAAUGGAUAAGGCAUUUGACUUCUAAUCAAAGGAUUGUGGGUUCGAGUCCCACCGAGCGUGUUCUUUUUUCUUAAAUUUUUUUCAUUCAUUAUGCUUCCCAUUGAAACUUAUUUUCUUCAGCGCAUGCUAUUCAUAAGUCGUCUAAAAAGGAAUUUUUUUUUGUGCCAAAUUUUAGCAGUAAUCUUGUUGUAGCAUCGGCAACCCCAAUCAUGAAAAUAUAAAUUCAUAGAAGUGCCAGCAUAAGAUAAGAUGCUAUUAAUUUGUCCAGCAACUGAACACAGACGCUAGAAAAAUUCAGAUCAGGAUUCCAAGAACAAUAAACUGGGUGCAGCGACCAGCAUUAAAGCUUAAAGCAAUAGGGAUUGUAAUCCAGGGGUCAUCAAACAUAGUAGCAUUGUCACUGACACCAAAAAGAAUGUAUAUAUGCUGGAGCCUUUCUCUAUGCCAAAAUGCUGUUUAUUAAUUGUCUCUAUGAUUGUCAACAGCUAGGGACUAUGCAUUGUAUUGCUUCCUAGAUCUUCUCUUGCUUUUCGCCUACGAGGGGGAGCAUCUCCAUCCGGCUUCUCGGGGUCCGCGGGCUCAGGGUGGCGCCUUGCUGGGAGAUGAGAUGCCUCACGUAGCCGUAGAAGGUGCAGCCGACGAGCGUGAUCCCGCACCCGACCGCGUUCAUGGCGGAGAUCGGGUUCCGGAAGAUCAUCCAGGAGAUAAGCACCGCAGCAGCUACCUACACAGACCCAUCAUGGUACCAUCAGUUUCCCAAUGCUGAACUUUGUUUGUUGGACUGAAGAAGCAGAGUGAAGAGGAAUGGGGAUAUCAGUGCUCUCACCUUGAGGUUGCCGGCCACGUUGAAGGUCACGGCGGUCGUCGAAUGGAUGACGUAGAAGAUGGAGAAGUUGAGGCAGAAGGCGAGAAUUCCUGAGGUGAUUAUGAUGAUCAGUGCAGGGACAGUUGACUCGUAUGUGUAUAGCCAGUUGAUCACGCCGCCCCCUUCGAGUACAAUCGCUGGUACUGACAGUAUCAUGGUGGCAAAGGGUGCCAUGUAGUACACCGUGUUAAUGCUGCAGAGAGAAAAAAGGAACAGAAAACACAGGUAACCAAGAGGAAAAAUAUGCAAUAUCGUAAUUGAUCGUGUAGGUACUAUGAAAAUAUGAAGAAAUUCUACAUAGCAUGAUGACAACAGAAGCGCUAUUACAUUAUCCAUGAAUAACUCUGUUAAGAACUAUUGUGAAUUAUCAGAUGACAAGAACUACUUCCCCUUUUAUUUUUACUUUUUCUUGUUGUGAAGCUCAAACAGAUGCUAUAAGAUCAUUUCCUCUGUAAACUGACUGGAUCACUGUUUACCUGUCAAAUUUGUAUCCAUGGAGUAGGGAUUCUGCCAAGAUGGUCUUUGUAGACGUGGCGAGGCAGCCAACCAUGGCGGCACAAAAACCAAACAUGUUGAAGCUAAGCUCAGUUACUGAAGUCAAGAGGAUUCCCCCCACAAUAGGAACCAAUGAAGCCCAUAUGCGCCACUCAAAGUAUUUCCUCCAGACCAACCACUGCAGGAUAACUGUUCUACAACGAAUCAGAAAAUGACGCAACAGCAAGUGCGAAAAAGGCGUCGUCCUCGAAGAUGAACAAAUCAGAGAACCUGUCGUUGCAGGAGUGAAGGAUUUGAUAGUCUGCAUGAAGGAGACUGGGAUGUACCGCAGGCUGACAUUUCCCAGCACGAUGUUUAUGCAGAACACAAAUGACAUGGGGAAUAUCCUUUUCCAGCGAUCCUCGGGGGCAACCUCGAUCAGCGGUUUUAUCUUGAGCAUUUUGAUUGCGAUGUAAGCUCCGAUGGAAGAGCAUAUGAAGUGGACGCACGACACGGUCAGAGGAAAUUUGAACUCCAGUUUCUGCAUCCCAAGAAAAAAAAAAUCAAGUUCAUGCUUUUCUGCUGAGGAGGCUGCAAUAGUGCCACUGCCAUGAACUAAUUGUCAGUUUAAACUUGAAAGCAAAAAAAUGUUCAUUCCAAGAGAAAGAUGGUGGCAGAAGCCCAUGAGAAACAUCAGUCAUAUCGACUCUUCUACAUGUCAUUUGCGAUUAAGUAUGUUCUCAAAUAUUAUGGUACUAGUCCACAAAAACAUAUUAGCACAUAAUCAAUGUUAACUCCGAAGUCUGAACCUUGGGACAUUUUUCAGCUCACUAACGAAAUGGCUCCCAUCUCCAAUCCAUUUUGCGGAUUGUAAUCUACAUUAAAACCAAUAAUUACCAUCCCAAAUAUUUCCAAUCCUUCAUGUUUCUGAUUCUUCUUCCCACAAAUAUCUUCGUCUUAACUCCAAACCUAAUCCUUUUGUGGAGAAACCUAAUUCCAACAAUUUACAGCCAUGAAAAAGGACAAUCCCUUCAUAUUCCUAACAACAUGAUAAAUCAAAAGCCAGCUAAUCUGCUCCCCUGAUUGCGCAGAUCAACCCAUAAACAUGAACAAAUCCUCCGGAAGACGAGGAAAUCGAGAAUAUAUAUUGAAAGAAAAGUUGUAAGCAGAAUGGGACGGAGGGAGAAGAGCGGCCGCGAGACGGACCUGGAAGAUCCAUUUGUUCAUGAUGAUGACGGUGACGUUGAAGCACCACCAUUGGAGGAUGGCCAGCACCGCCCUCACCGUCGCCACGUUCCCCAUCUUCCCUUCCUCCAUAUGCAGCGCACAAAAACAACAAAGAUCCCCUGGAUUCAAUUCCAAUCCCACUAAAAAAGAAACGCCUUUAAUUUCUUCCAGCCGGAGUCCAGGAGAGAAGAAAAAGGCAGAAAGAGACAGAUGCUGGAACGGCUGGCGUAUUUAUGUGUAAUUAAUCAGUGGAAAACUCCUCUUGAUGAUCCAUUUGUGGAAGGCAGCAGGCUGGCUUCUAGAAGACCAUGGUGGUUCUUCUAGAAGGUUCCAGAAGCCGUCAAGGCGUCAGGAGAAGAGGAGGAGGAGGAGCUAGAGGGGUUUCGCUUUCGGUCGUAGGAUUUGCAGGUUGUGGUUUUUAGGUUGAGAGUUCGAUUGGUGUGAUUCUUGCCUCUCAUAAUACGUGUUGCCACUCUUCUUCUUCUUCUUCUUCUUCUUCCUCCUUCUUCUUCUUCUUCUUCUUCUCUUCUUGUAUACGUCAGCCUAGCCAGCUCAGGCUUGGACACGUGUCACGUGGGACCGUCUCAGCCGAGCUUGGACACGUGUCAUUUAAAAACUGUUUAAUGGGUCGACAUAUGGGCCUCUCUAUGAGACUCCCCUGGGACCUCCAACCAAUCCCUGCAUCUGCACAGAACACACCAUUCUUCUGAUGAAAUCAACAGCAUUUCAAGCUCAGCUCACCCGUAGAAAAGCCAGCUUGCAGCAGCCUUCUUCCCCUUCACCACCAACAAUUAUUUUACAUUCCCAAUCACAAAUCGAUAACAGAAAGCACAAACAAGUAGCUAGUCAAACAUUGUUCUAAAAUAUAUGUUCUUCAUCAUCAUAGAUCAGAGGGAUAAAAACAACAGGUGAUGAAGCACAAAACGUUGUAAACAAAACAGCAUCAUUCGUUGCUUACAGCAAACACCGAAUUAACCUCCCUUCUCCACACAGAAAGGGAAACAUCAAAUGGAGUAAUAACGUUCCAUGCAGAAACAGCCAACAUAAACAGUCUUCAACAGGUAAGACUUGUCCCUGUAAAUGUCAACUGCACAACUGACUGGUUGAUUCAACCAGUCAUGUCAGGGUACUGUAUAUGGCCCCUUCAAAGAGGGGGCCGCCAAAAGGAUCAUCCUUUUUCUUCUUUGAAUGUAAGCUUGGCCAAGCAAAAUGUUGCGGAAGAUAUUCUGCUUAUUACGUCUCUUUGCCACCAACUAGCUAAGAAUCCGACUGACUGGCAUGCUUCAUGUUCUUAUGUCUCUUCAGGACAGACAACUCGUACUUUUGCAUCCCUUCCCUCGCCCUCCGUAGACUGCACGACGGGCAAUACCACUGGCCUUUCGGGAUGCAGGUGCGCUUCGGCGUCAUGCAGUAUAUGUGAUAAGCUUCGUCACAGCCGUCGCACAAGGCGAUAUCUUUGUCAUCCUUAUUCUUGAAGCAGCAUCUGCAGAGACAGGACGGGCAGUACCAGCAUCCGAGGUUUUUCUGCUUCUCAGACGCGAUCUGGCUUUCUCUGAGGCAUCGGAUGUGAUAGAAUUUGUAAGAGCAGUAAGGAUGACCACAUACCAAGAAUCGCCUGUCGUCGUCUUCGCAUGUGCCGCAGUGUUUGCACAGCUUUGCAAGGGCAGUUGUGCACAGGUCUGGCUCGUUGUCUUCCACCACGCAUGGCACGGAGCUCCCCUCUCUUUCAUCAGCUAACUCCAUUCCACUACCAAUUUCAGGCGGUUCUAUUUUCUCAAGGACUUCAAGCCUGGCACACAGAGGACAACCAACAUGCAAACUGUUCUUGUGAACAUUUUUCAUGAUGUCUGCAGCUGACCCCUUCCCCUUAUUGCUGCAGGCCGGGCAGUGCCAGGUUGCUGGGAUCUGUUUCAUAGCAGGAUGGAGUCGCUUGACACAGUCAAAGUGGUACGUGCUGUCACAUCCAUCACAGAUAAGUCUUUUUUCUUCUUCUGCACCGUCUCCACAUUGCUUGCAAGUGCAAAUUCGACGAAGUCCACCUGUCUCGGUUCGCUUUGGAAUUGUAGAAUGACCAGAAUCACAUGGGGAGAACUGCACGGUGGUAGUCGAACCCUUUGGGAUUUUGUGGACGACACCAACCAAGCUUGUUUCCUGGUGAAGAAUGCAAUUAGUAAAAGGUGUUAAUAGAGUGCAACAACAACAAAAAAUGACCAGCAGACUGUCUCCAAACACACCAAUUACCUCUAUCCGGCGCUCAGCAGCAUCCUCUGCUUCAGAAACUCCAGAAGUCUAUAAAGAAUAUAUCGUAAGCAAUGUGCAGUACCAGCAUAAAAGCCAACAAGUUAAAGACUCCACAAUAGCUUGAAGCAUGGUCGUGGAGAAAAUAACUACAAAUUUACCUGCUUCUGAUAAGAAGCUCGUGAAAUGAUUGGAAGAUUGCUUGCUAGACAUGUCAUCUCCCGGCCAACUCGUUCAAACUUCUCCCAUGUCUACAUCAGAAACAAAUAUCCAUACAGAUACAUGAAUAUGAUGACACUUUACUCAGAAUAUUGUUUGCCUGAAUGUUAUGCAACUUCAGGUGAAACAACAAUAGCAAGCAAGCAGUUUCAUUGAGCACUGCUCCUAUACUAGCUACAACAUGGAAUGUGCUACUUAGAAAACAUGAUUCAUCCUCCCUUGGGAGUCUCCUGGUUGGAUGAUUCAAACUGUUUGGAAGGCCAAGGCAGCUAAUGUGCAAUCAAAUGGUGCAAACAUAGGAACUAGUUUCAGAACAACAGUGUAUAAAGGGCUUUCUCUACUCUGCCAAGUAAAGUGAAGUUUAUGUAUCUAUACUAGAUAAAGCUCAAGAAUAAACAAGAAAGCAGUUAUUUUUUCCGAUGAUUGAGUAAAAUGGAGAUAAAGCUACCUGCUGGAUAUCUUUGUUGAACAACGCCGGAUUCUGUGCAUAACUUCCGUUUCUCAUGUUGGCGUCAAUUCUCCCCAAAUCAAUGACCUCAUGAACAUUAUUCACAUGGAAAGUUUCAACUAGCAGAUCACACAGCAGGGCAAAUUUCUCAGAGACUAAAAUGUCAAGGAGAGCACUGUUGCACAUUGCUGUGUUGGCAUCCAAAGAUGCUGCAGUUGCAUCUUUUAACGCAACAAAGGAACAAAUCUCUUUCGCAUCCGCCAGCCCAGUAGGAUGCUCAUCUGACGAAUCUUGGGCCUUCCCAAGGUCACCCUGGUAAUCACAGAAGUUCACCGUCAGUUUCAUAUCACAGUAUAACAAGGUUGCUCUUUUUAUUAAAUAGAUAUGAGAAAAGCAAAGAAGAUGAUGACUGACUUGUUGUUCAGAUUGGCAGCGGUUGUAUCUGAGAGCGUCACAGAUGCAGCUGUGAAUCCCACCGCCCUUAUUUAUACCUGGGGCUUGCAGGUAGCCCUCCAAUGUGUUCUUCCAAGUAAUCCAAUGCCUGGCCAGCAUUGGGUGCCCAUCUUGGCGAGAAUUGCCACCGUACAGCAUCAUGGCGGCACUAGACUGCACGGAAAUAAAGCAACCAAGCACAUUGGACACGGUUCGGUUAUGUAUUACAGUAUAAAAUAGGCAUCUCAGGAGUCAGGAGACAGAAUUCCUAGGAACAAGUAGCAGGAGCCGAGAUUCAGAGCAAUUCGAAAGAACAGAGUGAGCAAAUCUAGCCGCGUGAAAUGAAAUCUUGGCUGGAGUGCUUAUGGCACCAGGAAGCCAGAGAUGUCCCAGUUGCAACAGCGGAACACGGCGGCGGGCGGGCGGGGGGAAGAAAGAAUGGAAGACGGGGAGAGCAGGGGUUAGAUGCGAAAGCUUGGCUCACCUGUCCGGGGUCGGAGCUGGCGCCGCCGUCGGCGCGGGAGGCGGCGCGGCGGCGCUUGCGCGUGUAAGUGAGGACGCCGCCGCCGCUGCUUCCGCCGGGGGUCUCCGGGGCGCGGCGCUUGGGCGGGACCGGCGGCCGGCUGGCGCCGUCCUGGGAGGCGGACAUCUUGGCUCCCGUCCGGCGAGGCUACAGCAUGUGUUUUCCCCGGCGAAGAGCGGGGCCUAGACUGGGAACUCAGCGGGAGCGCAGCCGCGGCGGGGAGGACGGCCGAGGGGGCUGGUUUCUAGGGUUUGCGGAGGGGCGGUUUGCUGGGGAAGGAUUUGGGGAUUUGUGUGGGGAGCGAGGAGCGGGAGGAAGGAAGAAGAAGAGAUUUUGCGAAACGGAAACGGGGAAAGAAACGGAAACGCGGACGGACAGGCUGUGUGUGUGCUCGCCGUCACGGCUGCCUGCUUUCAACUCUCUCUCUUCCGUCUCCACCAAUUCAAAGUGCUCACGAAAUUGGCAGCGGACGUUCGUUUGGUAUGCUUAGGGGGCGACAUCCCCGGUGAGGAGAUAUACGGUGGAGGAUGAGGCGUUGGGUCGGUAGGCUUAGGGGUCCACGUCUCCGGUGAGGUUUGGUAGGAGGAGAUAUACGGCGGAGGGUUGGGUCGGCAUGCUUAGGGGGUGACAUCUUCGGCGUUGUUGGGGUAGUAGGAGGAGAAGGAAAGGGGGAAGGGGGAGGACGGCUGAUCGUGGUGACGGUGAGGUUGUAUGUAUAGGUGGCCAACUAAGCGGAAGGAUUCGAUUUUCGUUGGUGAGGAAAUGUCUUCCCGUGGCUGUGUAAGGAAGGAGAGGCCGUGUCAAUAGGAAAUGAGCGAGAAGAGGGGCAGGAGGAAGGAGAGGCGGCUGCAAGAGGGGAGGAGCGACGAGAGGCAGACAGGGAGAAAACCCUAAUAAGGCAACAGCUGUAGGGCUAAAUGGGCUAUAGUCCAUAGUUGGGUUGUGCUUUCGCUCUCUUCUUUUUUUCCUCAUGUUCCCCGUUGUUAUCCCAGGCCUUAAUCGCUCUCUUAUUUUUUUUUCCUUGUUGGCCCGUUCGGGCAGCCCAAGCACUGUAUACGCGAGUUGGGCACCGGGUGGAAACAAAAUGUCAUCCACUGCCCAAUGCCUUCCCAAACCUUAUAGGUCACUACGUAUUCAACACAAGUAAAGAACUUCGUACCAAACAUUCAUUUGGUAAUGCUUACGGACGAUCUCUUCUAGGAGGAUAUGUGCGGGACAGGAGAUGUCGAAGAGAAGGUAAGAUGGGAAGACAAAGGACCGCUGCCCUUGACAACGCGUUUGUACGUGUCAAACAGUAUUGAAACAAGUAGAUAACUUUGCACCAAACUCUUAGCUCGGUAAUGCUUAGAUGGCGAUGUCUUUUGUGCCGCUUCGGUAGGAGGAAAUGUGUGUAGAAGAGAAACCGAGGAGGAAGAAAAUAAGGGGAAGGAACGCAUGCAGCUGACCUUAACAAUGGCGAAGUCGAACGAAUCACUUGGUGUGGCCACAAGACGACGGCGUGGUCGAAUGGAGUGGCUGAUCCAAGCGGGCGGUGCCCCCACUUGACCACGGGACAACGCCGAUGGCUUGCGGGACGACGACGAUGUUAGAUCUAAGAAACGGUGUGGCGGCGGAUCUGAGAAGAAAGAGGCGGAGGGGAAAAGAGGGUUUGGGAGACUAACCAUACGUGGCUAUAAAUACAAUCGAUGAUGUCCUGGGAAAACAUGAGGCGCAAUUGCGGAGGCAAAUAAAUGUACUACAUAAAUGAGCCAAUUUUGUGAGGAAAUUUCUCUCUUUCAUAUCAGAAAGUCUGUAUGUACGACGAUUUCGUGUGAUCUACUCGCCGAUCCAUAAUAAAUGAGCGACACUUCUUAUGGAUCUGAGGGAGUACUAAAUUUCCUCAAGCCCAAGCCCAAGCCCAGAUGGCAAUGCUAGUAGUUUGUCUUUCAUAUAGCUUUGCUAGGCCAUCUGUAUACACGCUGAAAAAAAAAAUUGCAGGCCAUGCCAGCCAGCCUCACAAAGUCAGGUGACUUAAGUCAGAGAAUACUGGCUGGUGUCAGAUGGUAGCUAAUUCCAGUUAAAUGUUGUCAAUUUUCAAAGCAGAAGCAUGAAACUACAAAAAAUAGUGGCAAUACAGAUAUGCGUAUAGAAUAUUGAUUUGCUAUCUUUCUUUCUUUUUGCAAGGAAAGUGCCAUUCCCUUGCCUGAGGAUACUAUAUUUACCACUGCCGCGUCGUUUCUCCCCUCGGCGGCAGUGAGACAUCAUAUCAGAAGGCGCUGGAGACUACAUAGCCUGCCAACGAAGAACAUCACACAGCAUGAUCCAGCAACGGGCCGCUCGCUUUGCCUCUAAAUGAGGUUGUCAUCCCUUCGCCAAGCCUUUUACCUGAACAUGGUGUGCUCAUCCCGUUAGAUGAAGACCUCAAUCAAAUUGUGAACUGGACAGAUAAGAUGUUGGAUGAUGCAAGAUAUGACAAUUUUGAUGUGAAAAGGAAAGACCAAAUACUGGCAAGAUCUCUAUACGUGAUAUCAUAAUAGUCAAUAGAAGAUCAGCAUGAGUGGAAUCACAUAAGUAAUGUCAUAAAACUUAUCAUCAGGGCUUACUCUCUAUCAAGUCAAAAAAGGAAAAUUUGCAGUGGCUGGUAUAGUUUAAAACAUGGUGAAAAGGAAAAAUUGCAGCAGCGAGGUGCUAUGUAUUAGAGCUCUUUUACGGUACCCCGGAAUUAAUAUUGGCCAUCCAUUCACCCCAAUCUAAUGGCUAUUGUUAUCGGGUACUCCACCGAUGGUUCUCUGGAGUACUACCUCGAAAAGGCACGGAGUACCUUGUUACAAGGGGUAAAAUAGUAAUCAGAGACUUUCUUAUUUCUCAUUAGGGGCAAUCUCUGAGUUUUUCCUCGCAAUCAACAUGAAAACAUUCCCCGUGUGAAAAAAUUAUAACCCGAUGAACCCUAAUUCUAAACAGGUGAGACCAUCAUCCAUAGAUUCAAUCGUAGGUCUAAAAUAAAUCAAUGGUAGAGAUGUAUAAUUGAUCCAAGAAUCCACUAGGAGGCUGCACAAUUGAUCAAUCCAUACGUGCUGUCGCUGCUGUGAUCCAAGAAUCCACGAGGAGUCUGCACAAUUGAUUGAUCCAUACAUGUUGUCCUUGCUGUGAACAGCGCCAUCAGAAUCCCGGACAGCGCUGUGCAGCCUGUAGCGGGUGAGCGGCGCGUGCGAUCAAGAAUAAAAGUGAACCAUCGACGGCGGGCAGAUCUGGCGGCUAGACAGCGGCGUGACCGACGGGGGCUUGAUCGUUCGUCGCCUCGUCGGUGGCCAGACGCGAGGGCAGGGCCGCUCGAUCAGCACUGUUCAGUCAAAACAGCCCUUACAAAAUGUCCAAAUUACCCUCAUGUUUGGACGGCCAGAUUUAUUUGGUACUCCAAUCCAUGCCAAAGAGUACCAGGGUACCGUAAAAAAGCUCAUGUAUUAUUGGUAGCUGGCUUCAACAAGUCAUGACAACUUGAAAUUUAAAUACAGUGAAAACAUGUGGAACUUUGUCAGGAUCAGAAGACUUAUUCUUAACACCGUUCAUCAUGUUGAGAGCACAGGGUUUGCAUAAACAAAGCAAAAACGCGUAAACCUCAGCAACCUAACAACUAAGAACUCACUUGCUAUUAGUUUUAAUUUGGUAUGGUUUCGUAUAUGUUGGAAUGUUUGAUUUUGUUGGAAUUUCCAAAGUGAACUAAAUGACGUAAACAACAAGCCAGGCAACUGGAAUCUGCAAUCGACAAUGGCAGUAGAAAAGUGUAGUGAUAUAUGUAUGUACCUGGGAGAAGAUGAGCAGCCGGAACUGUUAUGGGUCACAGAGAACACAUUGGAGAGAGACUUUGUGAGGUAUGCAAAGUUUGGUAUCGGCGGCAACGCGGGCACACGCUCCCCUUUCCUCAGCAGCUCCUCCAAGUCGAGCCUUUGCAAAGUGAGUACAGACUUGUUGUCUCUCCAAACAAAGGCGAGCCGGCCAUCCUGGAGAGCAAAGAGUGACCCGGGCUUUGAGCCAGGGUACCUGAACCCAUACCCCGCUGCAAUGCCCUCCCCGGCAAAGCUUCUCGCAAUGUCCACACGGCGGGAAUCCUCGUCGGACUGCCAUGGAAAUGCCUCUGUCGAUGGCUCGCCCAUCCGCGCGAUAAACAUGGCCGACCCAUUGGGAUGCACGACAUAGUGUGUGCCCUCCAACACCUUGGUUGCGAUCAGCAUAAGCUUCCUCUCGCUGUCUUCCUCGUAGGAGAGGAGCAGGAAGAAGAGGGCCUUCCGUGGUUUGCGGUCAUCCUCCGGCCGCCCCGGUGGCCACCCGAAUGUGCCUCCCCACAGUCCGGCAUACUCCCGGCCGGGCACCGGCGCCUGUGUCGCCAGCUUGUAGAGCGCGAACCGGUUGCCAUGCAUGCUUGGCCACGCUCGGUAGGUCGACAGCCGCAGCUGGGCGCCCCGGAGGCUCAGGCCAACGCUCUUGCCGGCGCGCAAGAACUCGUCCAAUGCCAGAUGCUUGCUGCCUCCGAACUCUACCGUUGAAUUGGCCGACGCAGAGCGCGUCACCAUCUGCAGCAGCCCUUUCCUGACGAACCCGGCCAUCGCAGACAGGCUCCUCCGAAGGGGAACCUUAUCACCUGCAGCAUCGCCGUUCGUCGUCGGCGGCAUCUUCUUGGCUGCUUCCAGCAGCAGAGCCUCGAGCUCUGCCCGGCUCACCAUGCCGCCGCCGGACGACGACGAAUCCUUGUGCAGACGCAGCAUCGCCUCCCGGCGCGCGGCGAGCAAGGGGAGGUCCUCAUCGGAGCGCGCGAAGAGCGGCGCCGCGGCGAGGUCCGGCGGGAGCUUGACGCGGCAGGAGGCGACGAGCGCAUCGAGCAGGCCGCAGCGGUUACCGAAGGAGAGGCGGGAGAAGCUGGAGGAGGAAGAAGAGGGAGAAGGCGCGAGGGCCUCGAGGAGGAGGGCGUUGGUGUUGGGGUGGAGGGAGGAGAGGCGGCCGGGGAAGAGGGAUCCGGCGCCGUGGAGGAAGAGGAGCGCGGGGCGGCCAUGGGCGUCGGCGAGGAGCUCGAAGACGGGCGCCCAGCGGAGGCGCGGGGAGAGCUCCUGCGGGAUGGCGCGGAUGGCGACGAGGGAGAGGAACCCCGGGAGCGCCGCCACCAGGUUGCCCAGCUCCGGGUUCUGCUGCGCCCAGAGACCGCGGAGCGGGGCCGCGGAGUGGAGGAAGCGGCAGACGGUAAGAGAGGAGCCCCCGGCGGCGGCGCGCCAUGAGAGGAGGUGCGACGGCGGGGAAGAAGAAGGGAGCAGGCGGCGGCACUGCGCCAGCCAGGGCUUGUCGGCAGCGGAGAGGGCCGCGUGGAGGCGGCGGUCGGCGGCGGAGAGCGCCAGGAGGUCCCGCGGGCGGAGGUGGGCGGAGAUCAGGGCCAGCACGUCGUCCGGGAGCGCCAGGAUCAGCUCGCCCCCGGCCAUGGAGAUCGGGGUUGGGUGGGCCGUCUGCUUCCUUUCGCCUUUUUCUUUUCUUUUCUCAACCUCAAAAAAGUUCCAAGCUUUAUAAUCCUGCGAGAAGAAGACUGUGAAGAGUGACAAGCUCAGCCUGGUCUUUUUCCUCGGACGAUGAAGAAAUAUCUCUUUUUUUUUGCAUUUCGCUCUCGUGCUAUUCUCGCUGGCCACCUUGCUAAAAUAUCUCGAACCACUGUCUACACCAUUUUAUUACGCUUAUCGGUCUAUUUAUCUGCAGUUUCCUCCACAUUGCUCGACAUUGAUAAAUCACCUUCUCUAGUCACCUUCAUGCACCACAAGCUUCAGUGGAUUUACCAAUAAUUUCUUAACCCGAGUCUCUUUCGGACCCAAAAGGUGGACACACAAACUACGUGAUCAACAAGAAUGAUGUGAUACGAGGCAACAAGCAAGGAUCCGCGUCCGUUCAUGGGUUCGGAGUGUCAAAACUCAGCUCUAUGUUUCGUAGGAUUUUUACAGAAUUUCAAUCCUAGGAGUUUUUUUCUACAUGUAGCAUGGUUUCAGAACGAACAUGUUAGAUUUCUAAGAACUGUAUCCAAAUUGGCAUAAUUCAUAAGGAUUCUAAACAUCAGGUACGAGCUCAUUUAAAAUUAUUAAAGAAUAAAUAUGCAUGACAUUUCAAUCAUCUAUUUUCAUAUUCAUAUGAUUUCAAAAUCCUAUGAACCGAAUAAGCCCUAGGAUUACGACGUUGUCAAGGGUCAAGAAUGUAAAAAAGAAAAGUGUUAUAGAAGGGAAAAAAACGUCACCGUCAAAAAGAAUGAAUUAGUUUUGAUUUGGUCACAAGGUCUAGAAGAAGAAGAUGCUGCUUCUUGGUGGAUGUCAUGUCGACGUCAAGAUCACCUAUUGGCACAUUUCGUCCAGUCGUCGUUUGUAGUUUAUGUCCAGCGAAUUUGAGACCCGGUCAAACAGUGAACUCAUCAUCCUCGACGACUUUGACCAGGGUGGGUCCUUUGGGCCUUAAAAGACUCUCCUCGCUUUGGGCCCAUUAUAUUAGACAAGACCCCUUAUACAAAACAAGAGAGAGGCCAAGCCCAUGAGCAGAAGAACGCAACGGGCUGUGGGCCGGAAGCAGUAUCACCGUGGCAUCGAGAGCAGAUUACUUUUUAUUCGCUCAAACUAACAAUGAAACCUGCCCUAAAAAAAAACUAACAAUGAAUGAUCCCUAAAAAAAAAUUACCACUUGAAUGACAGGUCGUCCUCUACAAUUAUGGUUGUUUACAUGGCCUAAAUCAGCCAACUUUGUCUGACCACUCUGCUCUACGGUCGAAUCUAAGCUAGUAACUUAAUGGGCUUGUUUGGUCCUAAUCAUGGAAGAUGAUGAUUGGUCUAUGACAUAGAUACAGACUGGGACAGGGGCGCCAGACUCGUGCCUAAUCCUUCUUGUUUCAUCCAAGAAAAGUCUUAAGCCGUAUACACUGCCAGCCGGUACGCAUCGCAAUCUCAGGAUGACGCUCAAAUUGUCAAACCAGUUUGUCCUAAGAUGAGUUUUUUGUUUUGUUCAACGUAUAGCUGUAAUGGUCUGAUGGCAAAGAAUCUAACUGAAUGUAUAGCUGCAUGGUCUGAUGACAAAAGAGUACGCAUCUCAGAAAAAUGCGGGCAAGAACACAAGCAAAACCAAAGAUUAAUACGAUAACACACUGUACGAAAUUAACACUGGAUAGAGAUCGAAAAAUAACAAUCAAGAAAUACGUAAAUGUAACCCUGCAAAAGAAACAUAAAUGUACUGCAUAAUUACAGUACACAAUAAUACUUGUUGCAGCAAAACUCUGAUGAUCAUCAUCAUUUCUGAUUGUGAAGACGUCCUUUCAAUGAAAUUCAAUCAAGAAACCAAUUGCUUCAUUGCUCAUGAUAGCUACGAGUAGCUAGUAACGGCAUGAAAUCGAGAUCAUCUUAAUCUGUUUUGCAGCUGAUUGCAUGCUCCUCAUUUCUUGGCGGCGGCAUUGCUGGAGGAGGAAGAAGCUGAAGCAGAGGAGGUCCUCUGUUCGUCGACCUUGUGCACCACCUUGCUCCUGCCUCUGUGCGCCACCAACAUCUUCCUCAGCGCGCGCAUCAUCGCCACCAGCCCCGGCGCCCUUCUCCGGGACGAGCCGCUCCUCCUCGCCGCCGCGACCUGCAGCACCGCCACCUCGCGCUCCUCCUUCGCUGCCCGCCGCCGGCGGGAAAUGUCGAAGGACAGGUCGUCGUCGGCCAAGUCCUCCCUGCCGUCGUCGUUGAGGUCCUCCCACAGGCUGUCCAUCAUCUCCUCUUCUUCGUCCUCGGCUCCGGCGGGGGAGCAGAAAUUGGCGCGCCAUGGCGAUGCGGGAGCGGCGCUGGAGUCCGCGGCAGAGAAGCUGCGGCGGAUGGGCGACGACGAGAGCAGCCACGCCGGCGGCGGAGACGCGGACGCCCUGCUGUAAUUCCGGCGGUGGCUGUAGGUGCUGCUGCUGCAGCAGGCGGCGGCGAGGAGCUGAGGCGGCGGCGUGGGGAAGCUGAAGUCGUCGUCUUGCUCCGCCAUCGCCAUUGCCUAUUCUCUUCUCCCUUCUCUGCUCUGCUCUGUUCUGCUACUGCUGGAUUGCGUCUUGGUGGGGAAGAAGAUGCCAGUAGUGCUUCUGUUACCUAGCUACGUGUUGACUCUCAUCAAAUAAGGAGAGGAAGAUACCUCAAAAAAAAAAGUAGCUGGAGUUUGGUCCAACCGCAAGUAUUUUGAUUGAUGCUUGAUUGGUGGUCAAUCAAGGCAUUCCCUAUUGAUGCUGUAUCAGUAAUUUGUUUCAUGCGUACAAACUUUGAGCUAGAGUUGGCUCCAAGUUUUGCUUCAACGUUUGACCUCUUGAGCUGCACAUAUAUUCAGUUUACUACUCACCCCUUGUUUCCAACACGGCAUAAAAACUCAACUUAGGACAGUUCAUUUGAGCAUCAUCCUGAGAUUGCGAUGCAUACCGGCUGGCAGUGUACAGCUCAAGACUUUCUCUUGGACGAAAACAAGAAGAAUUAGGCACGACGAGUAUGAUGUCAAAAAAAUAAAACAAAAAAAUUAGGCACGAUUCCGGCCCCCGUGAUGUCUGUCAUAGACCACUGAUAUUCCAUGAUUAGGACCGAACCCAUUGUUAAAUUAGUACUAGAAGCUUAGGUUCGACCGUAAGAUUAAGAAGCAGAGUGGACAGACGAAGUUGGUUAAGUUAGGCCAUGUAAACGACGAUAAUUGCAGCGAGCAGGCUGUUCAUUAAUUAAUUAGCACAAAACAGGGUUCAAACGGUCCUUGAUACUUCUAUGUCUGAGGUCAACUGCCGUCUGUGUAGCACUUGACGACGGAUGAGAACAUGCCACUGGCUAAUUAAUUGGCAAACAGAUUGCCAUGACAUACAUUACCUAUCCGUCUAAAAUGUUGCAGCGAUCCAGUAAUUCCGGUGGCUGGUUGCUUCUUGUCUCUAAUUCUUUGUUUUGAUUUGAGAAAACCCAGCCGAAAUGCUGGGCUGGGCUGUAUCCAAAUUCAUGUUAAGGUUUUGGCCCACAAGUCCAUUACCAUCACAAACAAUUAGCUUCUCUGUCCGCUCAAAAAAAAAAAAAGCUUCUCUCGUCCUGUCUCGUGACUGUCCUCGACAUACAUACUUUAUCUUUUGUCUUCUUUGAAAGAAAGAAUGCACAUGUAUACUUAUUUUCAUUCCGUUUGUUGCAAGUAUACAUCGUUCGUCCUAGUAAUGCAUACUGCACGUUCCAGAGAAAUCAGGACACUUGGACCAUUGCUUGAGUAUCAUCACUGUCGGCUUGGUUAAACAUCCCAAUUCCCAAAAUAAAACCAUAACAGAUACAUGUCACCCUCCCCGUGGAUCGCACUAGCAAUGGCUAUGUUUCCAGGAGACAAUCACAGCAGAAAUUGGACCCAGCAAGGCAGCAAGGACGAUAAGAACCUGACACAAUAGAUAAGCGAUUGAUGGGAUGGAAACAAAAUUUAAGCAGCGGUGAGGCCUUUGCACAAAAUUUAAGCAGCAGCCAACCACCAAAGAAAACAUGGAGGAUGUCCGGAUCGUCUCCCGGCGCAUGAUCCGGCCGGAGCCGACGAGCACGCGGCGGCCGCCGGAGCUGGAGCCGGAGACGGUGAUCCACCUGACGCCAUGGGACCUCCAGAUGGUGACCGUGGAGCACAUCCAGAAGGGCAUCCUCCUGCCCAAGCAUCCACAGGGGCACAGCCAUGCCGUCGAACGGCUCGCGUCGUCCUUCGCGCUCGCUCUGGGACGCUUCUACCCCUUUGCCGGCCGGCUCACCGUCGAGGAGCUCCAGCAGGACGGCGGCAUCGCCAUGUCGCUGCGCUGCAGCGGCGAGGGCGCGGAGUUCGUCCACGCCGUGGCGCCCGGCGUCACCGUCGCCGACAUCACCUCGCCGGUGUACGUCCCGCCGGUGGUCUGGUCCUUCUUCCCGCUCGACGGGGUGCUCGGCUUGGACGCCGCCGUGGCCUCCCUACCGGUGCUGGCCGUGCAGGCCACCGAGCUCGACGACGGCGUCUUCCUCGCCAUGUCGCUCAACCACGGCGUCGCCGACGGCACCACCUUCUGGCACUUCUUCAACACCUGGUCCGAGAUCAGCCGCCGGAGCGGCAACCACGACGCCGCCGCCAUCGGCUGCGAGAUCGCCUCGCCGUUGCCGUUGCUCCAAAGGUGGUUCCCUGAAGGCUGCCCCAUCCCCAUCCCUCUGCCCUUCGACAAGCCGGAGGACAUUGUCGGCGACCAGCGUGCCAAGUACCCGUCGGUGCAGGAAUGCUUCUUCCGUUUCUCCGCGGAGAGCGUAAAGGAGCUCAAGGCGAAGGCGAACGCCGAGAUGGCUGGCGCCCCAGCCACCAUCUCCUCGCUACAAGCCCUCUUCGCGCACAUGUGGCGCGCCGUGUGCCGAGCCCGACGCCUCGCGCGAGACCAGGACGUGACGUACAUCAUCCUAGUCGGAUGUCGAGGCCGCUUGGAGAGCAUGCCAUCGGCCUACAUGGGCAAUGCCGUGUCGCUUAUCAUGGCGAGGUCGACUGCCGGCGAGAUCCUGGACAAGGGGCUGGGCUGGGCAGGAUGGCUCCUGAACCGGGCCGUGGCAUCGUUCAACAUGGCGAGCGCAACGGCUGAGACCGCGUCUUGGCCUCGGAACCCUGGCUUCGUGCGUCCUCUGGCGUCCGUGUUAGACGGUCAACCAAAGUUGUCCACGGGGAGCUCGCCACGGUUCGACAUCUACGGAAACGACUUCGGAUGGGGCAGCCCGGUGACCGUGCGGAGCGGCUCGGCGAACAAGGUGGACGGGAAGAUGACGGUGUAUGAGGGCGGCGAGGGUGCCGGUAGCAUGGCGCUGGAGGUGUGCCUUGCUCCGGAGGCGCUCGCCAGGCUCGUCGCCGACCAAGAAUUCAUGGACGUGGUGAGCUCAACCAAGGAGUGAUCAAUGAUCAAUCGAGCUCCUUUUCUUAACCACCGUGCCUAUGUUAAGUCUUAGAUCUGCAUCACUCAUCCUCUAUGAAAUUUAUGUAUUUGCCAAGAACCACUGGAAUGAUGAUAUUUUGCAGUACUAGUGAAGUGUCCAGAUGUUGGUUGCAGCCCACCAUUCAACAGAAAUCAAGCAAUCACAAGAAAGCUUAUCAAACAAUCAUCUGAUCAUGUAAAGCUUAAGGGAUUCAAUUUCACUCAAGAUCACACAAAGGAGUACAUACAACAUUAAUUAAUUGCAGGAUCUUCACCCUCGAGCAGUGAACAAGUAAAAAAACUAUCAUCCCCAACAUGUUUCCAUUCCGUGUAGAAGCUAAUUAAGCAGCGAAGUACCAUCCCCAACCCCUCCAUUAAUCUUACAAGGUACUGAGGUGUAAUCACUGAGAACCUGCUGAUCCUUCCAUCUCAUUUUGCUUUGCUUUGUGUAGACCAACGAUCCAAGACCAGCAGCACUAGUGGAUGAACAAUCGUAGUAGCUAGUUUCUUUAUGUGAUGAUAAAAAGACCGUCUAGACUAGCCGUGGUAGUAUUACAUUACAGACGUAUUACAGGGAGAAUCAAAGAAGAGAAGAUUUCUGGUCAGACCUCGAAGUGCUCCAUCUGCACGUCGGAGGCCUUGAGCGGGACGUAGUCGCCGAGGUAGACCUCGAGGUGGUCGGAGAUGUUGCUCUUGUCGAUGCUCUCAUGGUGGUAGCUCUUGCAGACAAGGUACACCACCGUCUGCACCACCAGUGCGACCAUGACGACGGCGCAGAGCAGGGCCAGCAACGCGAGGCCCAGGAGCAGCCUGGCGCCGGCGCCGAUGCCGUGGCGCGCGCCCUGCACGACCCACGCCCUGAACGCUAGCUCGACGACGAUGAAGACGAGGUUGAGCGUGAAGAAGAUGGCGGAGGCGGUGCGGAGCUUCCCUUUGAUGAGGUCCUUGCUCUUGCGCAUGGCGUGGAAUCCCUUGUAGUCCUCGAGCACGGAGACGACGCUGGCGAGGUGCCAGAUGACGCCGAGGUAGACGAGCCCGGCGACGUAUGCGGCGAGGAUGGGGAAGAAGACGACCGCGGCGAGGCCGGAGCCGUUCUCGGUGGCGACGAGCAGCGCGAGGAAGACGGCGACGGCGGCGAGGUUGUAUACGGCGAGCAGCGCGAAGGCGGCGAGGAAGGUGGCCGCGAGCCGGCGCCAGACCCUGGGCACGACGGAGAGCACCCUGGGGAACGUGAGAGCGUCGUACUUCGCGGAGUAGACGGAGGCGACGGAGAAGACGGCGGCGGCGGUGGAGAGGAGGGAGAGGAGGAGGAGAGCGAGGAGGUAUGCGGACUUGAAGAGGACGAGCGCCGACCAGUCGGCGGCGAGGCGGCGGAGGAUCCGGUCCUGCGAGGCGGUCCCCGGGGAGGAGGAGUCGAGCGCCGUGUCGUCGGAGUCGAUGGUGGUGAAGAGCGCGUGGGAGAUGGCGAUGUGGGCGAGGAAGAGGGCCGAGAGCGGGAGCACGAAGGCGGCGGCGAUGCGGCCGUAGAGCGGGCGGUGCGCGCGCAGGAUGGCCACGGACUCACGCGCGAUCCCCACGGCGCCCAGGAACUGCAGCUCCUCCGGCUCGCACUCCAUGGGUUCCCGCGCCGCCGGUGAGGUGCUGGAGAUCUGGGGUUGAGCUAGGGAUUUGGACGGAGGGUGGGGAGCUCGUGAUUUGGGGAUUUUUUUUUGGUUCGGGGGAUUGGGGAAGAAGGAAGAAAGCUAAAGCUCAGCUAAGCUCGGGUUUGUUUGAUCGGGUCAAAGUCCGACCGGUCGCUUCCAGAAGCCGACCGACGAACCCGAUGACGCGUCUUCCUUUGCUUCCGCGAAAUGGCCGGCGUUGACCGUGGGCCAGGUUUCUGUUACACGGGCCGUCUCAGGGCAUGGAUGGGGGUAUUCCAUGCUCAGUGAAUGUCAUUCGGCCCUUACUGUAUCAGCUAUAAGCUAUAUAGGCCACCUUGGGCUCUGGAAGUUACUUUCUGUGUUUAUUGACUGGGGGCUAUCAGCCCAAACCAGAAUAAAUCAAAGCCUACUACUACUACUACUACUAGGCAAUUACAUGGGCCAAACGGAACUACUUUCUAUGCCAAUGUAACAACCUUGUCGUGCUUCUAAAAGAAAAACUUCUUGUACUACCUAAAACCGAAAUGUAAGGUUAAUGUUAUACGAGUCAUUUUAUUGUCGGCUCAAUGGUGAAGACUUGCUAAAGAGUCACAGUGUCAAAAAAAUAAAAUGACAUAUCAAUUCGCUUGUGGAUCGGAGUGGCAUGUUUGUUUCACUUGAGUCCAAAAAAACUCAGCAAGGAUUUCAAAGGUAGUAGUUCGGCCGUCCAAAAAAAAUAAGAAAAAUCCUAUGACUUAAAAAAGUUCAAAAAUAUAAAAACUGGUAGGAUUGAGAUCAGGCGACGUACGAUUUAUACGUUACAUCACCGGAGCCACUUCCAAACCACUACUCGGCCACCUAAAAAUCCAUAUUUCAUAAGACAAAAAUCUUACCAGCAAAGCUAACUUUUAAAUUAACAGGGGGAAGACGGUGACCUGCCCACUAUGGCAGUGUGCCAUUGUGCUUCUACACAUCGAUGAAUGGACACGAACACGACGCACGUCCACGUCAUCACUCAUCUACUCAUUAAUCAGUUUAAAAUUGAAUUCGCAAGUUUAACUCACAGAUUUCAAAUUCAAAAUUGAAUUUGCAAAUUUAACUCACAGAUUUCAAAUUGAAACCCAGAGACUAUAGUACUACUACUCUAGAGCUCACGUGGGCGAGAAGAAGAAGAGGAGAGCCCCCCCCCCC
rnacentral:lncRNA from 1 species